rnacentral:rRNA from 1 species
UACGAAGGGUGCAAACGUUGCUCGGAAUUACUGGGCGUAAAGCGUGCGCAGGCGGUGAUGUAAGACAGGUGUGAAAUCCCCGGGCUUAACCUGGGAACUGCAUUUGUGACUGCAUCGCUGGAGUGCGGCAGAGGGGGAUGGAAUUCCGCGUGUAGCAGUGAAAUGCGUAGAUAUGCGGAGGAACACCGAUGGCGAAGGCAAUCCCCUGGGCCUGCACUGACGCUCAUGCACGAAAGCGUGGGGAGCAAACAGG